rnacentral:lncRNA from 1 species
AUACAGUUCAAUUCUUGUACAGGUUUGCUGCUGAGCAGAAAGAAAAAAAGCACAUGAUGGACAAGGUUCUAGAAGCAGAGGAGCAUAAAGAUGAAGGGUGUGGUCCUAGCACAGAUGUCAUGGCAAAAGUUAACCACAUCUCCAAGCGUCAAGGGAACCCUAGUGCAUAGAAAAGUCAUAGCAGAGAAUGAUGAGGACAGCAUGUUUCAGAGGAGACACAGAGUAAGGGAAGAGCUGCUACAAAGGGCAGAGCCUGAGAGACUCUUCGGAACUGGCCAACUAUUCUGACUUCUUCAGCAUUCAACAUCCAUGAAAGCAGGACAUGUUAAAGGUCCAGCCUUAGUCCUUCCUGUAAAUUUACAAAUAAAUCCAGUGAGCCACAACUAGAUCUGUUUACUAUGGCAAUGAUAAUAUGCCCACAUUUCUAUGAAAACCCACAUGGAUAAUAUUUACCAGGUCAUAUGAGUUUAGGAAAAAAAAAAAACAUACAUAGCUUUUUGUGCCUCAGGUCCCUAAUUUGUG